UACGUAGGGGGCAAGCGUUAUCCGGAUUUACUGGGUGUAAAGGGAGCGUAGGUGGUAGGGCAAGUCAGAUGUGAAAACCCGGGGCUCAACUCCGGGAGUGCAUUUGAAACUGUCCAGCUAGAGUGCAGGAGAGGUAAGCGGAAUUCCUAGUGUAGCGGUGAAAUGCAUAGAUAUUAGGAGGAACACCAGUGGCGAAGGCGGCUUACUGGACUGUAACUGACACUGAGGCUCGAAAGCGUGGGGAGCAAACAGG
rnacentral:rRNA from 1 species